GCCUCUAUGGCUCAGUGGUAGAGCAUUGCACUUGUAUGUUGUAGACAAGAUUAUGCAAAGGUCCCUCGUUCGAUCCGGUAUGUUCG